rnacentral:rRNA from 1 species
CGUAAAGCGCGCGUAGGCGGAUUAGUAAGUCAGAGGUGAAACUCCCGGGGCUCAACCCCGGAACUGCCUUUGAUACUGCUAGUCUUGAGUUCGAGAGAGGUGAGUGGAAUUCCGAGUGUAGAGGUAGAAAUUCGUAGAUUAUUCGGAAGGAACACCAGUGGCGAAGGCGGCUCACGUGGCUCGAUACUGACGCUGAGGUGACGAAAGUGUGGGAGCAAACAGGAUUAGAUACCCUGGUAG